UCCAUCGAUGAAGAACGCAGCGAAAUGCGAUACGUAGUGUGAAUUGCAGAAUUCCGCGAAUCAUCGAGUUUUUGAACGCAAGUUGCGCCCGAGGCUUGUCCGAGGGCAUUUCCGUUAGAGCGUCACCGCGCCCCCCCACCACACUCCCCAAGUACUUUUGUACCUGUGCGCCAGUUUGAGUGGAACUGGCCGUCCCGGAGUGCUAAGGUACCCGGGUCGGCUGAAAUGGAGGGAAUUUGGCCGCCGUGGCAUCACUUGCCCCGCGAUCAGGUGUGAUUACGAACUCCCACGCCACUUAGUGUCGUGGGACUUGGGUCUUCCAAGUGCGGGGCUCCCGGUGAGCCCGAGUGCGUGCGAGUUCCACAGCAGGCUACCUUAGCUACCAAGGCCCUUCCACUCUGUGGAAGGCCUCGAGGAAACGAAGAGGUAACGCAUCAG
rnacentral:rRNA from 1 species